rnacentral:rRNA from 2 species
GGACUACCCGGGUUUCUAAUCCUGUUCGCUCCCCACGCUUUCGCGCCUCAGUGUCAGUAUCGGGCCAGGAAGUCGCCUUCGCCACUGGUGUUCCUUCCGAUAUCUACGCAUUUCACCGCUACACCGGAAAUUCCACUUCCCUCUCCCAAACUCUAGCCAAUCAGUUUUAUAGGCAAUUCCCAGGUUAAGCCCGGGGAUUUCACCUAUAACUUAAUCAACCACCUACGCGCCCUUUACGCCCAGUAAUUCCGAUUAACGCUCGCACCCUCUGUAUUACCGCGGCUGCUGGCAC